CUACCUCCUCAGGCUGGCGGCCCUUCAGGCCGGGCUGGGUGAGUCUCUCUCUCAAAGGCUCACCCUCAAGCUCAACCAGGAAC
rnacentral:pre_miRNA from 1 species